rnacentral:rRNA from 1 species
GGGACACGUGGUAUCCUGUCUGAAUAUGGGGGGACCAUCCUCCAAGGCUAAAUACUCCUGACUGACCGAUAGUGAACCAGUACCGUGAGGGAAAGGCGAAAAGAACCCCGGCGAGGGGAGUGAAAAAGAACCUGAAACCGUGUACGUACAAGCAGUGGGAGCCUCUUAAUGGGGUGACUGCGUACCUUUUGUAUAAUGGGUCAGCGACUUAUAUUCUGUAGCAAGGUUAACCGAAUAGGGGAGCCGAAGGGAAACCGAGUCUUAACUGGGCGUUAAGUUGCAGGGUAUAGACCCGAAACCCGGUGAUCUAGCCAUGGGCAGGUUGAAGGUUGGGUAACACUAACUGGAGGACCGAACCGACUAAUGUUGAAAAAUUAGCGGAUGACUUGUGGCUGGGGGUGAAAGGCCAAUCAAACCGGGAGAUAGCUGGUUCUCCCCGAAAGCUAUUUAGGUAGCGCCUCGUGAAUUCAUCUCCGGGGGUAGAGCACUGUUUCGGCAAGGGGGUCAUCCCGACUUACCAACCCGAUGCAAACUGCGAAUACCGGAGAAUGUUAUCACGGGAGACACACGGCGGGUGCUAACGUCCGUCGUGAAGAGGGAAACAACCCAGACCGCCAGCUAAGGUCCCAAAGUCAUGGUUAAGUGGGAAACGAUGUGGGAAGGCCCAGACAGCCAGGAUGUUGGCUUAGAAGCAGCCAUCAUUUAAAGAAAGCG